GACGAACGCUGGCGGCGUGCUUAACACAUGCAAGUCGAACGAGAGCGUAGAGAAAGCUUGCUUUUUCUACAAUCUAGUGGCAAACGGGUGAGUAACGCGUAAACAACCUGCCCUACGGAUGGGGACAACAGCUGGAAACGGCUGCUAAUACCGAAUACGUUCCGAAAGUCGCAUGACUAUCGGAAGAAAGGAUGGCCUCUAUUUAUAAGCUAUCGCCGGAGGAGGGGUUUGCGUCUGAUUAGCUAGUUGGGGGGGUAACGGCCCACCAAGGCGACGAUCAGUAGCCGGUCUGAGAGGAAGAACGGCCAAAUUGGAACUGAGACACGGUCCAGACUCCUACGGGAGGCAGCAGUGGGGAAUCUUCCGCAAUGGGCGAAAGCCUGACGGAGCAACGCCGCGUGAGUGAAGACGGCCUUCGGGUUGUAAAGCUCUGUUAUACGGGACGAAUAAUCUUGUGGUUAAUACCCAUGAGAAGUGACGGUACCGUAAGAGAAAGCCACGGCUAACUACGUG
rnacentral:rRNA from 1 species